rnacentral:rRNA from 1 species
GAUGAACGCUAGCGGGAGGCCUAACACAUGCAAGCCGAGCGGUAUUGUUUCUUCGGAAAUGAGAGAGCGGCGUACGGGUGCGUAACACGUGUGCAACCUGCCUUUAUCUGGGGGAUAGCCUUUCGAAAGGAAGAUUAAUACUCCAUAAUAUAUUGAACGGCAUCGUUUAAUAUUGAAAGCUCCGGCGGAUAGAGAUGGGCACGCGCAAGAUUAGCUAGUUGGUGAGGUAACGGCUCACCAAGGCGAUGAUCUUUAGGGGCCUGAGAGGGUGAUCCCCCACACUGGUACUGAGACACGGACCAGACUCCUACGGGAGGCAGCAGUGAGGAAUAUUGGUCAAUGGGUGCAAGCCUGAACCAGCCAUCCCGCGUGAAGGACGACUGCCCUAUGGGUUGUAAACUUCUUUUGUAUAGGGAUAAACCUACCCUCGAGAGGGUAGCUGAAGGUAUUAUACGAAUAAGCACCGGCUAACUCCGUGCCAGCAGCCGCCGUAACAC